AGGGGCACAAUGAGGGACAGUUUCCCUGUUACUUCCAAUCUCCCUGGUGUACUUCAUGGAGGUGCACACUGGAGCACUGGUAAAGGUGGCCAUGACUGUGCAGUCUGGGUUCUGGGCUGGUGGCAGAUCCCUCCCCAAGGCUAGAAGGAUCGAUCCGUAGUGGGGGCUUCAGCUCUGGUCAACCUCUGAUGUAUUUCAGGGCUUGGUGGAAAGCACGUACAUCUUCAUUUCUCACUCGGAGAUCAGACUGGCUUAUGCUGCUUGUCACACAGAGGAUUGGUGGGAAACCAUUUUGGGAUGUUAUGAUGGGUCCCUCUCUUCCAGCCAGCCUUCUGACCCCUUCCCUCUCAUGGGAAACAUGAACUAUGGCAACUCUUGCUCAGCUCAAGAUUCAUGAGGCUCCUGCAUUACAUCACAAUUCCAGGCAGCUGCAUUAUAUCAAGAAAGGAGAAAAUAAAGACCCUGAUCUGUGUUUUACAUUAUAACGAUAUACUGCAUAUUGCUAUAGGUGACCGGGCUCAGUUGGACUGCCAAAAAUAUAAUGAGCUGGGAGUUUCAAGGCCCUUGCAUGUGACACCUGGAAGGUGGUGACGGGAGCUGAUUAGAAACUUGCCUGACCGGAAGAAGAACUCUAUAUAAUCCCUGAGCCACCCUGCCACCACCCCCCAGGAGCUUAAAAGUAAUGCUCGAGUUUGUCCUCAUCAGCCAAAAGAAACACAAGAACAGGGUUGCUGAUUUCUCCUGAGGUUCCCUUGGAACGAGCCCACAAGUGAAAGGCUGUGACUGUUGUAAAAGGCACACCUCUCUACAGUCUGCUGGACAGAAGAACAUGCCUAGAGUGGAAGGGGCCAUGAGCUUGUCUUCAUUGUAUUGCAUCCAGGGGGACACUACUAAGGAGUAGUUGGUGUCUGUGUUUCCAUAGCAGGUCACAGUGACCCAAGGCCUUAGUCUGAGCCUCCUUUGACUCUCUUGCCCACCUUGCAUCCACAGAGGGACAAGCACAAUCCAGUAGGUAGCCAAGGACCAGACUUUUAUACAGGCUGAGCCUUUAGUGAGAAAAAGAAGUAAUAUUGUGCAAAACAAUUCAAUAACCAUGACAUCAAAUUGCUCCUUAAAGGGACAGGGACUUGCACCUAACAAAUCAAUUGUUUCACUGGGUGUUUGCUGUGGAGCUGGAACUGUCAUCCCCAGAGUUCCUAAAAUUUUAGGCAAUAAAGCAGCACUGGUAGCUCUAAGGAGAGAGUUUGUAAGGCACAAGUGAGAGUUAGUGGCCUACUUCCCAUUGACUUUCAUCAAGAAUUGGCUGCCUUGCUGCUCAUUGCGCCUUCAGAAAUCUCCCUUUAGUCUGUGUAAUCUCUUUAACCCCCUUUUAAUUAGCUUGUCUUCCUGGAAUGAGGAACCAAGAAGCUGUGUUGAAGGAUUACUGCUGUAUCUAACAGCUGCUAGGAUAGACCAGUUCAUAUUAGCAGAGCACAACUUUGGUGAGAGGCACCAGACUGAGAUAAGCAUUGAAUCAGACCCAUGUGUUUGGUUCAAGUACUGGUCCAUGUACAGGCAUGAAGUUAUUAACUAUCCUGUCCCUUCUUGCGCACACUGUCCCAGAGCAGCAUGUGCUUAUUAUACAGUGGUGCAGUAAACUUAUGCACUAGAAAACUUGUGGAAGGUGAAUGCUCAAGGGGCAUGAUCACAGUGAAAAUCAGUUGUCUCAAAUUCAGAUGAAUAUCCAUAAAACAUGUAGUUGGACGAAUGUGAAUGUGUCCAAAUGGUGGUGUUUGGAGGUAUAACGGCCCAUCUGUAGUCGCGGACCCUUACAAUUCCAAGGACACUGUUCACAGGUAGAGACUUUUGAAUAAGCAUGAUGAGUUCUCUAUUGAAAUGCAGUGUGCAAAAAGAGUGACAUUUUAAAACGUAAGGACCUCAUUGGACAAGAAACCUGCUCAGCUAAGAAUAGGCUUGGCUAAGUGAAAUCUGAACUUCACUGUCUGUAUCUUGCCUGACUUGAACCUUUGAAAGAUGAUGUUGCUUUUAAAGUGACACCUAUACAUUAUAACACUUCUUUGAGUUCAACAUGUAUACAGUAAAGGCCUUGGGUCAUGUUAAUGCCUGAGGUAACUUCAUUGUCCUCAAGGAAAUGAUGUCACAUGGAUUUGGCAGAUGUAUGCCCCAUGCUACCUUGCUGUUACCUACAAAGAAUCCCUCGUUGCAAUAUUAAGCUCAAUACCUCUUCCGAUAACAAGUCAGCUUCUCAAGGGCAGAGCCAGCCUUAAUGAAUUCAUCUUUGUGGGGCAUGUUGUGAUUCACAGGUGGAAGGUGCCAUAGAUCUUCAACACACUAAUUAAUAAUACCAAAAAAUGAAUGAAUCUCAAACCCUGGCAGCAGCCUCUAACCCACAUUCUGCCAGCUUGGACUGGUCACCCCUAGAUUCUCCUGGGAGGAAAAAAGAUUACUUGCCUCCUCUAUUUCAGUGAGUCCUUAAAACAUCACCACAUCCUAAGAACACUAGCUGAAAAAACAGCUGCCUUUUCUGCCUGAUGAGGUUAAUAAUAACUUUGAAUGCAUAUGUACAGCAUUAGCUUUCAUGGUAACAUGCAUAAUUCAAAUCCCCCAAAGAACAGUAGAGCUUUGAGGAAGCAAACUUCCUUAAUGUACUGGGCAAGGAUCCAGCUUUUACCAGCUGUUGAGGGUUGAUGUACAAUUUUUGGUUAAGUGAAUAAUUUAUCAUGGAUAUUAUCUGUAGUGUAUCACAUCCCAACAGUUUGUAGGCCUGUGCAUAUGGCUUUUGAGAUGCCAGAACACUGCCAUAUGCUUCAUGGCCCAUUACCACUUCAGACUCCCUUAAGAUGUUUUUCCCCAUGUUAAGCAUGUUAGAAGCACAGUGUUUAGUGGGAAUGCUAGCUCUGUGCAAAGGUAGGUGGACGUUUUUAGAGGACUUUUAUGUUGGCUACAUGUAUAGUGAUGCUUACUGCUCUUAAAUAAACUAUCUGGUUGUCUCAAGACUUGGGUUAUAAAUUGUAAGGAGCACCUGCCCAACACUCAGCCCCAAAUACCACUCAUUAUGCAGAUGACCCUGUUGUGGACUUGAUUAUAGUGUCUACGCAAAUCAAAGCUCCUUUAAUCAGUCUGUUGAGCAGGUAGUACCCCAUGCACUUAGAGGACAGGGAACAGAAGUGGGACACUUCAACAACCUCAUGAAACAUGUGGAACAUUGUGUCUCAUAUUCCAGGUGGGCUUGUCCUAUUUCUUACAAAGAAAUAAAGUUGUCAAGGAUGCUGCAAAGCUUCUUGGCAGUGUUUUAUUUGAACAAAACACAUCUCUCUUGUGGCUUCUUUAUCUUCCGAUGUCAAGUCUGUAUUAUAAUGGUACACUCUGUGGAGCCUCACUACUCUGCUGUGGGAAAAUUGGGGUGAACUCCUGCCUUGGUUUUUUCUGAACACAAUACAAAAUAUAUCUGCACAAUUCAUCUUGGAAGGAGGCUUCUGUUUUGUUGGCAUGUGGCUAAAUGAGAGGGCAACAUGUAUGUCCCAUUGAAGGUACAAGCUUCCCAGUUUAGAGCAGAGACCACAGGGGCAGCUUUUUCAAGGGAGCUAGGCACUUAAAACUCUGUAAAAC